GUGAUUCUCUUCACUUCCGAUUUCAAAUUGUUCAAAUCAGUUUUAUAUUCUCUCAGUUUGGCAAGAAGCAUGGCCUUCACACUUGGUGGCAAGCUCCUAGCUUCAAGAUCCAUUUUACGUAUCUAGAUAUUAAGCUAAAAGUCAACAACAGGUUGUGUAUUCAGCAAAACCAGCAAUGCACAAAAGCAUAUACUACAUAUAUAUAUGGAGAGCUCUGCUUAUAGAAUUCUCUCAUGAGCUAUCAGUUAAAUUCUAUCUGCUGCUUAAGUACAUAAAAGCCCAGAGUUAUGGUAUUCAUGGUAAAUAAGUCUUUUUCUACAAACUUAACCUCAUUUAGAAAUGGAAAAUUAUUGAAAA